AGAGUUUGAUCCUGGCUCAGGACGAACGCUGGCGGCGUGCCUAAUACAUGCAAGUCGAGCGGACAGAUGGGAGCUUGCUCCCUGAUGUUAGCGGCGGACGGGUGAGUAACACGUGGGUAACCUGCCUGUAAGACUGGGAUAACUCCGGGAAACCGGGGCUAAUACCGGAUGGUUGUUUGAACCGCAUGGUUCAAACAUAAAAGGUGGCUUCGGCUACCACUUGCAGAUGGACCCGCGGCGCAUUAGCUAGUUGGUGAGGUAAUGGCUCACCAAGGCAACGAUGCGUAGCCGACCUGAGAGGGUGAUCGGCCACACUGGGACUGAGACACGGCCCAGACUCCUACGGGAGGCAGCAGCAGGGAAUCUUCCGCAAUGGACGAAAGUCUGACGGAGCAACGCCGCGUGAGUGAUGAAGGUUUUCGGAUCGUAAAGCUCUGUUGUUAGGGAAGAACAAGUGCCGUUCGAAUAGGGCGGUACCUUGACGGUACCUAACCAGAAAGCCACGGCUAACUACGUGCCAGCAGCCGCGGUAAUACGUAGGUGGCAAGCGUUGUCCGGAAUUAUUGGGCGUAAAGGGCUCGCAGGCGGUUUCUUAAGUCUGAUGUGAAAGCCCCCGGCUCAACCGGGGAGGGUCAUUGGAAACUGGGGAACUUGAGUGCAGAAGAGGAGAGUGGAAUUCCACGUGUAGCGGUGAAAUGCGUAGAGAUGUGGAGGAACACCAGUGGCGAAGGCGACUCUCUGGUCCGUAACUGACGCUGAGGAGCGAAAGCGUGGGGAGCGAACAGGAUUAGAUACCCUGGUAGUCCACGCCGUAAACGAUGAGUGCUAAGUGUUAGGGGGUUUCCGCCCCUUAGUGCUGCAGCUAACGCAUUAAGCACUCCGCCUGGGGAGUACGGUCGCAAGACUGAAACUCAAAGGAAUUGACGGGGGCCCGCACAAGCGGUGGAGCAUGUGGUUUAAUUCGAGGCAACGCGAAGAACCUUACCAGGUCUUGACAUCCUCUGACAAUCCUAGAGAUAGGACGUCCCCUUCGGGGGCAGAGUGACAGGUGGUGCAUGGUUGUCGUCAGCUCGUGUCGUGAGAUGUUGGGUUAAGUCCCGCAACGAGCGCAACCCUUGAUCUUAGUUGCCAGCAUUCAGUUGGGCACUCUAAGGUGACUGCCGGUGACAAACCGGAGGAAGGUGGGGAUGACGUCAAAUCAUCAUGCCCCUUAUGACCUGGGCUACACACGUGCUACAAUGGACAGAACAAAGGGCAGCGAAACCGCGAGGUUAAGCCAAUCCCACAAAUCUGCUCUCAGUUCGGAUCGCAGUCUGCAGCUCGACUGCGUGAAGCUGGAAUCGCUAGUAAUCGCGGAUCAGCAUGCCGCGGUGAAUACGUUCCCGGGCCUUGUACACACCGCCCGUCACACCACGAGAGUUUGUAACACCCGAAGUCGGUGAGGUAACCUUUUAGGAGCCAGCCGCCGAAGGUGGGACAGAUGAUUGGGGUGAAGUCGUAACAAGGUA
rnacentral:rRNA from 1 species